GAAUCUUUCUGAUUCCUGCUGGUCUGGGACAGACAAUUCUAUCCUGUAAGUAGAGGACUAACAGACAGCUGCUUUCCACUUGCCGUGGCGCCUGUCUCUACAGCUCUGCCACACUU